rnacentral:rRNA from 1 species
GAGUAGGGCGGGACACGUGGUAUCCUGUCUGAAUAUGGGGGGACCAUCCUCCAAGGCUAAAUACUCCUGACUGACCGAUAGUGAACCAGUACCGUGAGGGAAAGGCGAAAAGAACCCCGGCGAGGGGAGUGAAAAAGAACCUGAAACCGUGUACGUACAAGCAGUGGGAGCACGCUUAGGCGUGUGACUGCGUACCUUUUGUAUAAUGGGUCAGCGACUUAUAUUCUGUAGCAAGGUUAACCGAAUAGGGGAGCCGAAGGGAAACCGAGUCUUAACUGGGCGUUAAGUUGCAGGGUAUAGACCCGAAACCCGGUGAUCUAGCCAUGGGCAGGUUGAAGGUUGGGUAACACUAACUGGAGGACCGAACCGACUAAUGUUGAAAAAUUAGCGGAUGACUUGUGGCUGGGGGUGAAAGGCCAAUCAAACCGGGAGAUAGCUGGUUCUCCCCGAAAGCUAUUUAGGUAGCGCCUCGUGAAUUCAUCUCCGGGGGUAGAGCACUGUUUCGGCAAGGGGGUCAUCCCGACUUACCAACCCGAUGCAAACUGCGAAUACCGGAGAAUGUUAUCACGGGAGACACACGGCGGGUGCUAACGUCCGUCGUGAAGAGGGAAACAACCCAGACCGCCAGCUAAGGUCCCAAAGUCAUGGUUAAGUGGGAAACGAUGUGGGAAGGCCCAGACAGCCAGGAUGUUGGCUUAGAAGCAGCCAUCAUUUAAAGAAAGCGUAAUAGCUCACUGGUCGAGUCGGCCUGCGCGGAAGAUGUAACGGGGCUAAACCAUGCACCGAAGCUGCGGCAGCGACGCUGAUGCGUUGUUGGGUAGGGGAGCGUUCUGUAAGCCUGCGAAGGUGUGCUGUGAGGCAUGCUGGAGGUAUCAGAAGUGCGAAUGCUGACAUAAGUAACGAUAAAGCGGGUGAAAAGCCCGCUCGCCGGAAGACCAAGGGUUCCUGUCCAACGUUAAUCGGGGCAGGGUGAGUCGACCCCUAAGGCGAGGCCGAAAGGCGUAGUCGAUGGGAAACAGGUUAAUAUUCCUGUACUUGGUGUUACUGCGAAGGGGGGACGGAGAAGGCUAUGUUGGCCGGGCGACGGUUGUCCCGGUUUAAGCGUGUAGGCUGGUUUUCCAGGCAAAUCCGGAAAAUCAAGGCUGAGGCGUGAUGACGAGGCACU